rnacentral:rRNA from 2 species
AUUAUGACUCUCGGCAACGGAUAUCUCGGCUCUUACAUCGAUGAAGAACGUAGCGAAAUGCGAUACUUGGUGUGAAUUGCAGAAUCCCGUGAACCAUCGAGUCUUUGAACGCAAGUUGCGCCCGAGGCCUUCGGGUCGAGGGCACGCCUGCCUGGGCGUCACGCCUCGC